UACAGAGGUCCCAAGCGUUGUCCGGAAUCAUUGGGCGUAAAGAGCUCGUAGGUGGUCUGUUACGUCUGCUGUGAAAUCCUAGGGCUUAACCCUGGGCCUGCAGUGGAUACGGGCAGACUAGAGGUAGGUAGGGGAGAAUGGAAUUCCCGGUGUAGCGGUGAAAUGCGCAGAUAUCGGGAGGAACACCGGUGGCGAAGGCGGUUCUCUGGGCCUUACCUGACGCUGAGGAGCGAAAGCGUGGGGAGCGAACAGG
rnacentral:rRNA from 1 species